GCGGGUGUGCUGGAAUUGGCAGACAGGCUAGCUUGAGGUGCUAGUGUUCGUAUGGACGUGCGGGUUCAAGUCCCGCCUCGCGCA
rnacentral:tRNA from 1 species